UACGAAGGGGGCUAGCGUUGCUCGGAAUCACUGGGCGUAAAGGGUGCGUAGGCGGUUCUUUAAGUCGGGGGUGAAAUCCUGGAGCUCAACUCCAGAACUGCCUUUGAUACUGAAGAUCUUGAGUUCGGGAGAGGUGAGUGGAACUGCGAGUGUAGAGGUGAAAUUCGUAGAUAUUCACAAGAACACCAGUGGCGAAGGCGGCUCACUGGCCCGAUACUGACGCUGAGGCACGAAAGCGUGGGGAGCAAACAGG
rnacentral:rRNA from 1 species